rnacentral:rRNA from 1 species
ACGAACCAUCAUGUCAUUAGUUUGGUGUGGUGGGGAAUCAGGACUGUUACUUUGAAAAAAUUAAAGUGUUUAAAGCAGGCUCGCGCUUGAACACAUUAGCAUGGAAUAAUGAAAUAGGACGUUGAUCCUAUUUUGUUGGUUUCUAGGAUUGACGUAGUGAUUAAUAGGGAUAGUUGGGGGCAUUAGUAUUCAAUUGUCAGAGGUGAAAUUCUUGGAUUUAUUGAAGACUAACUACUGCGAAAGCAUUUGCCAAGGAUGUUUUCAUUAAUCAAGAACGAAAGUUAGGGGAUCGAAGACGAUCAGAUACCGUCGUACUCUUAACCAUAAACUAUGCCGACUAGGGAUCGGAUGAUGUUAAUUUUUUAAUGACUCAUUCGGCGCCUUACG